rnacentral:rRNA from 1 species
ACGGGAGGCAGCAGUGGGGAAUAUUGGGCAAUGGGCGCAAGCCUGACCCAGCAACGCCGCGUGAAGGAUGAAGGUCUUCGGAUUGUAAACUUCUUUAAUCGGGGAAGAAAAAAAUGACCUACCCGAAGAAUAAGCCACGGCUAACUACGUGCCAGCAGCCGCGGUAAUACGUAGGUGGCAAGCGUUAUCCGGAUUUACUGGGUGUAAAGGGCGUGUAGGCGGCUCUGCAAGUCAGAAGUGAAAUUCCCGGGCUCAACCUGGGCGCUGCUUCUGAAACUGCAGAACUUGAGUACUGGAGGGGAAAGCGGAAUUCCUAGUGUAGCGGUAAAAUGCGUAGAUAUUAGGAGGAACACCAGUGGCGAAGGCGGCUUACUGGACUGUAACUGACGUUGAGGCUCGAAAGCGUGGGGAGCAAACAGGAUUAGAUACCCUGGUA